ACGGGAGGCAGCAGUGGGGAAUAUUGCACAAUGGAGGGAACUCUGAUGCAGCAACGCCGCGUGAGUGAUGAAGGCCUUCGGGUCGUAAAACUCUGUGAUCGAGGAAAAGAAGAAGAUAGUACUCGAAGAGGAAGCUCCGGCUAACUAUGUGCCAGCAGCCGCGGUAAUACAUAGGGAGCGAGCGUUGUCCGGAAUUACUGGGCGUAAAGAGUGCGUAGGCGGCAUAUCAAGUCAGGUGUGAAAUACCGGGGCUCAACUCCGGAAUUGCAUUUGAAACUGGUAAGCUUGAGUACAGGAGGGGGAAGCGGAAUUCCUGGUGUAGCGGUGAAAUGCAUAGAGAUCAGGAGGAACACCGGCGGCGAAGGCGGCUUUCUGGACUGUAACUGACGCUGAGGCACGAAAGCGUGGGUAGCAAACAGGAUUAGAUACCCUGGUA
rnacentral:rRNA from 2 species